AAGCUGUCGAGAGACCAGAGCAGCAGGGGAAUGGAAGUGGGAGGCAGGAGUGAGACAUGGGAGAAAGCAGGGCUCAGGUCUCUCGGCUUUACUCCUGCUGUUUGUCAGUACUGCAGUCCUGGCCACCAUCCCAGCCUGUCACUCAGGCCAUAUGCUCACCUCACAGGACAGCCCUGUUCCAGAAAGCCACCCAGGCUUCUGAGCCUGGAUACAGAGUCCCCAGGGCAACUCUCUGAUCUUUUUUCCUUUUUUCUUUGAGAUGGAGUCUCACUCUGUUGCCCUGUCUGGAGUGCAAUGGCACGAUCUCAGCUCACUGCAACCUCCGCUUCCCAGGUUCAAGCAAUUCUCCUGCCUCAGCCUCCUGAGUACGUGGGAUUACAGCUGGCUGGGCCACCUUGAACAAGUAACCUGAGUCUCCAUUUCCUCCCCACUUACAAAGGGGGAUUGACUAAAUCUACCCUGCUGCAAAAGGCUCAAAGAAGCCAUUCACUGAAGAAGAAACAGACAUUAAAUAGUACUCAACCUCAUAGGUAUGAAAAGAAACAAAAAUCUAAAAUAAUGAGAUACCACAUUUUACAAAAGAGAUUAGGCCGGGCUCAGUGGCUCAUGCCCAUGAUCCCAGCACUUUGGGAGGCUGAGGCAGGCAGAUCACUUGAAGCCAGGAGUUCGAGACCAGCCUGACCAACAUGGCCAAACUCCGUCUCUUCUAAAACUACAAAAGUCAGCUGGGUGUGGUGGUGAGCAACUAUAAUCCAAGCUAUUCAGGAGGCUGAGGCAGGAGAAUUGCUUGAACCUGGGGGUGCGGAGGUUGCAGUGAGCGGAGAUCGUGCCACUGCACUCCAGCCUGGGCAACAGAGUGAGGAUCUGUCUCAAAAAACAAACAAAAAACCAAAAAAAAAAAAAAAAAACCCAAAAA